rnacentral:rRNA from 1 species
UACGAAGGGUGCAACCGUUGCUCGGAAUCAUUGGGCGUAAAGCGCACGUAGGCGGCUUUGCAAGUCGGAUGUGAAAUCCCUCGGCUCAACCAAGGAAGUGCAUCCGAAACUGCAGAGCUUGAGUACUUAAGAGGAUCGCGGAAUUCCCGGUGUAGAGGUGAAAUUCGUAGAUAUCGGGAGGAACACCAGUGGCGAAGGCGGCGAUCUGGGAAGAUACUGACGCUGAGGUGCGAAAGCGUGGGGAGCAAACAGG